AACGCGAAGAACCUUACCAAGGCUUGACAUAUACUGGACCGCAUCAGAGAUGGUGUUUCCCUUCGGGGCUGGUAUACAGGUGGUGCAUGGUUGUCGUCAGCUCGUGUCGUGAGAUGUUGGGUUAAGUCCCGCAACGAGCGCAACCCUCGUUCUAUGUUGCCAGCACGUUAUGGUGGGGACUCAUAGGUGACUGCCGGGGUCAACUCGGAGGAAGGUGGGGAUGACGUCAAAUCAUCAUGCCCCUUAUGUCUUGGGCUUCACGCAUGCUACAAUGGCCGGUACAGAGGGUUGCGAUACUGUGAGGUGGAGCUAAUCCCUAAAAGCCGGUCUCAGUUCGGAUUGGGGUCUGCAACUCGACCCCAUGAAGUCGGAGUCGCUAGUAAUCGCAGAUCAGCA
rnacentral:rRNA from 1 species